AGUUCAUGCAGGAAGCAAUUAUCCAAAUGUAGGAUCGUGUGGACGGCUGCUAUCUGAUUGUUUAAAAGGAGGCAUAUAAAUCUACGUUUAAUUUCAGUUCGCUUGGUGGACUUCGGCUGUGGCAUCUCCGGGUUCAAGAUAAUAGUUCCCUCUGGAUUCAGCCAUUUGGUGUCAGUCUUACAGCUUCAAGGGAUGCUGUUAAAAUGUUUCGAUUGUUUGGAUAAAGACACGAUGACCCAGAUUUCAAUGUCACUUAUAAACACUGAUACAUGAAUGUCAUUGAAGUUACACAUGGCUUUAAGUAACAAAAUGAACCUCAAAACAUGCAGCCUACACAUUCACAGGGAGAGAUGUUUUAAGUUGUUGUUUACUGGCCUGUGCCUUGGAAUUACAGGAUUUUUGGU